rnacentral:rRNA from 1 species
CACUCGUGGGAUCAGUGGCGAAACGGGGGUGAGUAAACAACGUGAGUAACCCUGCCCCAUCACUCUGGGAUAAAGCGCUGGAAACGGCGUCUAAUACUGGAUAUGACUGACCCUCGCAUGGGGUGUUGGUGGAAAGAUUUAUCGGUGGUGGAUGGACUCGCGUCCUAUCAGCUUGUUGGUGGGGUAAUGGCCUACCAAGGCGACGACGGGUAGCCGGCCUGAGAGGGCGACCGGCCACACUGGGACUGAGACACGGCCCAGACUCCUACGGGAGGCAGCAGUGGGGAAUAUUGCACAAUGGGCGAAAGCCUGAUGCAGCGACGCCGCGUGAGGGAUGACGGCCUUCGGGUUGUAAACCUCUUUCAGCAGGGAAGAAGCUUUUGUGACGGUACCUGCAGAAGAAGCACCGGCUAACUACGUGC